UCAUGGUUCCAUAGGCCGCGCCUUCGCCUCCUAAAGCACCCAACGCGGGUGCUUCUCAGAAGGGCUCUGCAGUCUCAGCUGGCUGAAUGCGUCCUGAAGGCUGGCAGACACCGGCGGGAAUCUCCUCUUCCGUGUCCUUCAGAAAUCGGGACCCUCAGGGAGAGGACUUCUCUGGUGCUCCAGAGUGCACGUGUGCAGGAUCUUUGUUCCCAGCCAUGGAUUCAGCUGUGCUCCCUGUAGUGGAAGCACAUAGUCCUAACCACUGGUCCACCAGGGAAGCUCCUCUCUGCAUCUUAAUACAAGUUCCAAGGAGACCAUUAUCCACUGCUGUGGCUUAGAAGAUGAACAGCUAUCGCCAGGAAAGAAACUCUUGACCCAGAAACCCUUCAGGGCCCUGAGUGAGAUAUGGGAGCUAGCUCUGGUACAACCGUGACAUGACAUCAGUUCAUUUCUGUCUCUGGUGACCUGGGGAGCCCAGAGAGCUUUUCUGAGUUCCCAUGAAGUCAAAACUAUUUUCAUGGUUAUACUAAGAUGGUAUUUGCCCUUCACUCUCAUUUUCUCAUGAGUAUGCAGUGGAGUUUUCUGCAGAGUAUGAUGUGUGAUAUUUCGACAGAGUGAAUGCAGAAGCAGAUGGCGUAAUCCAGUUGUCAUCGAUUAGGCCAAGCAUUGAAGAGAUUUGCAAAAGUAUAAAACAAUGCUAUUCUCUCGCUGCUUAUUUUGUUUUGGCAAAUAGAGUCAUUUUUCAUUAAAUAUGCUACUUAUGGUAUCAGAA